UAGAGGAAGUAAAAGUCGUAACAAGGUUUCCGUAGGUGAACCUGCGGAAGGAUCAUUAUUGAAUUCCUUCAGAGAGGAGUUGUUGCUGGCCUUUACUGGCAUGUGCACACUCUGAUCGACCUUUCAAACCCCUGUGCACAUUUUGUAGGAGAGGGUAACAUCUCUUCUAUGUUUUUAUAYAUACCCCUUUAAAGUUUAUGAACGUCUUAUAUGAAUGGCCUUUUGGGCUUUCAAAAUAAAAUAUAACUUUCAACAACGGAUCUCUUGGCUCUCGCAUCGAUGAAGAACGCAGCGAAAUGCGAUAAGUAAUGUGAAUUGCAGAAUUCAGUGAAUCAUCGAAUCUUUGAACGCACCUUGCGCUCCUUGGUAUUCCGAGGAGCAUGCCUGUUUGAGUGUCAUUAAAUUCUCAACCCUCUAACUUUAUUGAUAGAGUGGCUUGGACUUGGAGUGUGCUGGUGUGUUAACAUCGGCUCCUCUUUAAAUGCAUUAGCAGAAAUCUUUCAAUGUGCAAUCGGUGUGAUAAUUAUCUACGCCUUAAAAAGCCUUUGAAGUCUGCUUAUAACCGUCCUUCUGGGACAACUUAAUGAUUAUCUUGACCUCAAAUCAGGUAGGACUACCCGCUGAACUUAAGCAUAUCAA
rnacentral:rRNA from 1 species